CGCCCAUGCAUAGUGAUAUUAGCAAGGUAAAUGAGAAACAUAGCAAUCACUCCCCUGUAAUAAUAUUGCUCUGCCAGCCUAAUACACGAGAGGGGGACUGUUGAUAUUUGGUAACGCAAUAAGGAAAUGAUCCGCAAGCGCACGGAUAUCGGUGAGCAUUUCACCCGGGAGAUUUUCCAAAGUAUCGUAUUUAUAUUUUUACCACUGGGAGAAAGGGUGCAUCUGACUAACCAAAUCUAUUGCUACUACCCCUUUAGGCUACAAACAAUGUCUCUCGAUAUGAGUGAUGUAUAGAGAAGACUGCAACCGU
rnacentral:lncRNA from 1 species